UGGGGAAUAUUGCACAAUGGGCGGAAGCCUGAUGCAGCGACGCCGCGUGGGGGAUGACGGCCUUCGGGUUGUAAACCUCUUUCAGCACCGACGAAGCGGGAGUGACGGUAGGUGCAGAAGAAGCGCCGGCCAACUACGUGCCAGCAGCCGCGGUAAUACAGAGGAGCCAAGCGUUGUCCGGAUUGACUGGGCGUAAAGCGCACGCAGGCGGCACCGCGCGUGGGGUGUGAAAUCUGGCCGCUUAACGGCCAGGCGCCAUCCCAUACGGCGGAGCUGGAGUGAUGCAGAGGUCGAUGGAAUUGCCGGUGUAGUGGUGAAAUGCGUAGAGAUCGGCAGGAACACCCAGGGGGAAACCAGUCGACUGGGCAUCUACUGACGCUGAGGUGCGAGAGCGUGGGGAGCGAAC
rnacentral:rRNA from 1 species